GAUGAACGCUGGCGGCGUGCCUAAUACAUGCAAGUCGAGCGAACAGAUAAGGAGCUUGCUCCUUUGAAGUUAGCGGCGGACGGGUGAGUAACACGUGGGUAACCUACCUAUAAGACUGGGAUAACUUCGGGAAACCGGAGCUAAUACCGGAUAACAUUUAGAACCGCAUGGUCCUAAAGUGAAAGAUGGUUUUGCUAUCACUUAUAGAUGGACCCGCGCCGUAUUAGCUAGUUGGUAAGGUAACGGCUUACCAAGGCGACGAUACGUAGCCGACCUGAGAGGGUGAUCGGCCACACUGGAACUGAGACACGGUCCAGACUCCUACGGGAGGCAGCAGUAGGGAAUCUUCCGCAAUGGGCGAAAGCCUGACGGAGCAACGCCGCGUGAGUGAUGAAGGGUUUCGGCUCGUAAAACUCUGUUAUUAGGGAAGAACAAAUGUGUAAGUAACUGUGCACAUCUUGACGGUACCUAAUCAGAAAGCCACGGCUAACUACGUGCCAGCAGCCGCGGUAAUACGUAGGUGGCAAGCGUUAUCCGGAAUUAUUGGACGUAAAGCGCGCGUAGGCGGUUUCUUAAGUCUGAUGUGAAAGCCCACGGCUCAACCGUGGAGGGUCAUUGGAAACUGGGAAACUUGAGUGCAGAAGAGGAAAGUGGAAUUCCAUGUGUAGCGGUGAAAUGCGCAGAGAUAUGGAGGAACACCAGUGGCGAAGGCGACUUUCUGGUCUGUAACUGACGCUGAUGUGCGAAAGCGUGGGGAUCAAACAGGAUUAGAUACCCUGGUAGUCCACGCCGUAAACGAUGAGUGCUAAGUGUUAGGGGGUUUCCGCCCCUUAGUGCUGCAGCUAACGCAUUAAGCACUCCACCUGGGGAGUACGACCGCAAGGUUGAAACUCAAAGGAAUUGACGGGGACCCGCACAAGCGGUGGAGCAUGUGGUUUAAUUCGAAGCAACGCGAAGAACCUUACCAAAUCUUGACAUCCUUUGAAAACUCUAGAGAUAGAGCCUUCCCCUUCGGGGGACAAAGUGACAGGUGGUGCAUGGUUGUCGUCAGCUCGUGUCGUGAGAUGUUGGGUUAAGUCCCGCAACGAGCGCAACCCUUAAGCUUAGUUGCCAUCAUUAAGUUGGGCACUCUAGGUUGACUGCCGGUGACAAACCGGAGGAAGGUGGGGAUGACGUCAAAUCAUCAUGCCCCUUAUGAUUUGGGCUACACACGUGCUACAAUGGACAAUACAAAGGGCAGCUAAACCGCGAGGUCAUGCAAAUCCCAUAAAGUUGUUCUCAGUUCGGAUUGUAGUCUGCAACUCGACUACAUGAAGCUGGAAUCGCUAGUAAUCGUAGAUCAGCAUGCUACGGUGAAUACGUUCCCGGGUCU
rnacentral:rRNA from 1 species